UACGGAGGGGGCUAGCGUUGUUCGGAAUUACUGGGCGUAAAGCGCACGUAGGCGGCGUUGUAAGUGGUCGGGUGAAAUCCCACGGCUCACCCGUGGAACUGCCCGGCAUACUGCGAUGCUAGAGUGUGGUAGGGGAGAGCGGAACUCCUGGUGGAGCGGUGAAAUGCGUAGAUAUCAGGAGGAACACCGGUGGCGAAGGCGGCUCUCUGGUCCACAACUGACGCUGAGGUGCGAAAGCGUGGGUAGCAAACAGG
rnacentral:rRNA from 1 species